AUUAUAACGAACUGUAUACUCUAUAUCAGUCUACAUAAAUGAUUGAUUAAUGAUGUUCGCUUAAUUCGAACAAUUUCUUCUUAUUCAAUCUUCUUACUGUUUGAGUUACCCUCUUUGUUUAUACUUUUGGGUUUCCAUUGUGUGGGAGAUUUCAUGGUGGUCCAGUGUGUUUGUGGUUGUCUUAGUGUGUUCGUAGUGGUUUUGGUGUGUUCAUGAUGGUCGUUGUAAGAACCUGAUUAUUCCACUCUCUCUCUUUAAUCCAAUUUUCUCAUUCUCUCUGCCUUCUCUCUACCAAUCUCCUCCUCUCUUCUAGAUCUCCUCUCUAAGCCGGUUGAUCCCUGAUUUGGUGGUGGAAGAUCAAGUUAGCGAAGAAAGUCUUCAAGAGAGGCGGACGAGGUCUCUCUGGAGCAGGCAGUGGAAGGAGAUGAUACUGCCGAUUAAUCUUUUAGUAUUUCUAAUGGUUAUUAGUACUUUAAAUACUUUGCUAAGUUUAAGUUAAAAAUUCUGUAGCUAAAUUGAGGAUGACUGUAAUCCUUAAUAUUCUUAACUGCUUUCACAUAUU
rnacentral:sRNA from 1 species